GCCUUGAUAGCUCAGUUGGUAGAGCAAUGGAUUGAAGCUCCAUGUGUCGGCAGUUCGACUCUGUCUUAAGGCA
rnacentral:tRNA from 1 species